rnacentral:rRNA from 1 species
GACGAACGCUGGCGGCGUGCUUAACACAUGCAAGUCGAACGGAAAGGCCCUGCUUGCAGGGUACUCGAGUGGCGAACGGGUGAGUAACACGUGGGUGAUCUGCCCUGCACUUCGGGAUAAGCCUGGGAAACUGGGUCUAAUACCGGAUAGGAGCCAUUUUUCGUGUGAUGGUUGGAAAGUUUUUUCGGUGUAGGAUGAGCUCGCGGCCUAUCAGCUUGUUGGUGGGGUAAUGGCCUACCAAGGCGGCGACGGGUAGCCGGCCUGAGAGGGUGGACGGCCACAUUGGGACUGAGAUACGGCCCAGACUCCUACGGGGGGCAGCAGUGGGGAAUAUUGCACAAUGGGCGCAAGCCUGAUGCAGCGACGCCGCGGGGGGGAUGACGGGCUUCGGGUUGUAAACUCCUUUCGCUAGGGACGAAGCUUUUUGUGACGGUACCUAGAUAAGAAGCACCGGCUAACUACGUG